rnacentral:rRNA from 1 species
AGAGUUUGAUCAUGGCUCAGAGCGAACGCUGGCGGCAGGCUUAACACAUGCAAGUCGAACGGGCACCUUCGGGUGUCAGUGGCAGACGGGUGAGUAACACGUGGGAACGUACCCUUCGGUUCGGAAUAACUCAGGGAAACUUGAGCUAAUACCGGAUACGCCCUUUUGGGGAAAGGUUUACUGCCGAAGGAUCGGCCCGCGUCUGAUUAGCUUGUUGGUGGGGUAACGGCCUACCAAGGCGACGAUCAGUGGCUGGUCUGAGAGGAUGAUCAGCCACACUGGGACUGAGACACGGCCCAGACUCCUACGGGAGGCAGCAGUGGGGAAUAUUGGACAAUGGGCGCAAGCCUGAUCCAGCCAUGCCGCGUGAGUGAUGAAGGCCUUAGGGUUGUAAAGCUCUUUUGUCCGGGACGAUAAUGACGGUACCGGAAGAAUAAGCCCCGGCUAACUUCGUGCCAGCAGCCGCGGUAAUACGAAGGGGGCUAGCGUUGCUCGGAAUCACUGGGCGUAAAGGGCGCGUAGGCGGCCGAUUAAGUCGGGGGUGAAAGCCUGUGGCUCAACCACAGAAUUGCCUUCGAUACUGGUUGGCUUGAGACCGGAAGAGGACAGCGGAACUGCGAGUGUAGAGGUGAAAUUCGUAGAUAUUCGCAAGAACACCAGUGGCGAAGGCGGCUGUCUGGUCCGGUUCUGACGCUGAGGCGCGAAAGCGUGGGGAGCAAACAGGAUUAGAUACCCCGGUAGUCC